GACGAACGCUGGCGGCGUGCUUAACACAUGCAAGUCGAACGGAAAGGCCCUGCUUUUGUGGGGUGCUCGAGUGGCGAACGGGUGAGUAACACGUGAGUAACCUGCCCUUGACUUUGGGAUAACUUCAGGAAACUGGGGCUAAUACCGGAUAGGAGCUCCUGCUGCAUGGUGGGGGUUGGAAAGUUUCGGCGGUUGGGGAUGGACUCGCGGCUUAUCAGCUUGAUGGUGGGGUAGUGGCUUACCAAGGCUUUGAAGGGUAGCCGGCCUGAGAGGGUGACCGGACACAUUGGGACUGAGAUACGGCACAGACUCCUACGCGAGGCAGCAGUGGGGAAUAUUGCACAAUGGGCGGAAGCCUGAUGCAGCAACGCCGCGUGCGGGAUAUCGGGCUGCGGGUUGUAAACCGCUUUCGUCUGUGACGAAGCGUGAGUGACGGUAAUGGGUAAAGAAGCACCGGCUAACUACGUG
rnacentral:rRNA from 1 species